AUCCAGCUGAUGAAUCUCAAAGAAGACGAAAUGUGCCUCCUGGAU
rfam:Schistosoma mansoni, Puerto Rico, WGS project CABG01000000 data, contig: 0598